rnacentral:rRNA from 1 species
AUUGAACGCUGGCGGCAGGCCUAACACAUGCAAGUCGAGCGGAUGAAGGGAGCUUGCUCCUGGAUUCAGCGGCGGACGGGUGAGUAAUGCCUAGGAAUCUGCCUGGUAGUGGGGGAUAACGUCCGGAAACGGGCGCUAAUACCGCAUACGUCCUGAGGGAGAAAGUGGGGGAUCUUCGGACCUCACGCUAUCAGAUGAGCCUAGGUCGGAUUAGCUAGUUGGUGGGGUAAAGGCCUACCAAGGCGACGAUCCGUAACUGGUCUGAGAGGAUGAUCAGUCACACUGGAACUGAGACACGGUCCAGACUCCUACGGGAGGCAGCAGUGGGGAAUAUUGGACAAUGGGCGAAAGCCUGAUCCAGCCAUGCCGCGUGUGUGAAGAAGGCCUUCGGAUUGUAAAGCACUUUAAGUUGGGAGGAAGGGUAGUAAGUUAAUACCUUGCUGUUUUGACGUUACCAACAGAAUAAGCACCGGCUAACUUCGUG